UACGGAGGGAGCUAGCGUUGUUCGGAAUUACUGGGCGUAAAGCGCACGUAGGCGGCUUUGUAAGUUAGAGGUGAAAGCCCGGGGCUCAACCCCGGAAUUGCCUUUAAGACUGCAUCGCUUGAAUCCGGGGAGAGGUGAGUGGAAUUCCGAGUGUAGAGGUGAAAUUUCGUAGAUAUUCGGAAGAACACCAGUGGCGAAAGGCGGCUCACUGGACCGGGUAUUUGACGCUGAGGU
rnacentral:rRNA from 1 species